AUCUACGGCCACACCACCCUGAACGUGCCCAAUCUCAUCUGAUCUUGGAAUCUAAGCAGGGUCAGGCCUGGUUAGUACUUGGAAGGGAGAAAAUCUGAUCUGAUGGAUA
rnacentral:rRNA from 1 species